AGCCCAUAAAAAUACUUAUUCUUGGUGAGUGCCAUGUAGCGACGGAUCAAACGGACACUCAUGUCAAGCUUGAUGAGGACACAGUCAAAGCUUUAAAAGACCUUGUGAUUAAGUCUUCAGUGUCUGAAUGGCAAGAAGAAGUGACCCUCCACUUAAACGUGACAUUUAAACUGCUCUGUGUUUU